rnacentral:rRNA from 1 species
CAGUAGCCGCGGUAAUACGUAGGGUGCGAGCGUUAAUCGGAAUUACUGGGCGUAAAGCGUGCGCAGGCGGUUGUGUAAGACAGGUGUGAAAUCCCCGGGCUCAACCUGGGACCUGCAUUUGUGACUGUAUAGCUAGAGUACGGUAGAGGGGGAUGGAAUUCCGCGUGUAGCAGUGAAAUGCGUAGAUAUGCGGAGGAACACCGAUGGCGAAGGCAAUCCCCUGGACCUGUACUGACGCUCAUGCACGAAAGCGUGGGGAGCAAACAGGAUUAGAUACCCGCGUAGUCCCUGUCUCUUAUAC